UACGUAGGGGGCAAGCGUUGUCCGGAAUCAUUGGGCGUAAAGAGCGUGUAGGCGGCCCGGUAAGUCCGCUGUGAAAGUCGAGGGCUCAACCCUCGAAUGCCGGCGGAUACUGUCGGGCUAGAGUCCGGAAGAGGCGAGUGGAAUUCCUGGUGUAGCGGUGAAAUGCGCAGAUAUCAGGAGGAACACCAAUGGCGAAGGCAGCUCGCUGGGACGGUACUGACGCUGAGGCGCGAAAGCGUGGGGAGCAAACAGG
rnacentral:rRNA from 1 species